AAAAUCCCCAAAAGUCCCCACAAGGAUAAUAAAACAAGUCAAAUUCCCAUGUUCUCAUGAGGACAAAGACUAUUGGGUUUAGGUUUAGGAGUAAGGUUUAGGGUUUAGGAGUAAGGUUUAGGGUUUGGGUUAGGGAAAAUAGGAUUUUGAAUGGAAAUCAAAUUUUAGGUCCCCACAAGGAUAGAAGACCAAAACGUGUGUGUGUGUGUGCUUGCAUACGUGGGUGUGUGCGUGUGCAUGAGCAAAUGUGUGUAUGUGCAUGGGAGAGUGAUAGAUGACACAUGGCGUAUGUGUUAGUGUUCACUUCCGUGUGAAAUUCACUGUCUUCACAUUUAGGAGACCAGAAGUUUGAGGACUAUUUAUAUUUCCAAUGCUGGAGGCCAGCAAUCUAGUAUUGUGAUUCAGUUAGAAGACUCUUUUUAAUAGGUUAGACCAUUUUAAGUUCAAAGCACUUGCAGUUAUUGCACUUACAACAGAAAUUUGUGUAACUACUUUGAAAUAUUUUGCUGUACUUGCUAUACCCACUGAAUGGAGAUCUUAAUUCCAUUUAUGAGUUAAUUUUCAAACGCAGAAUUUAAUAGAACCAAGUGAAGCACUGAGAUCUUUUAAUUACAUUGCUCAAUGUAUACGUUUCUUUCCCCGUAGAAUAUCCUACAUACAGUAGCUAGUAUUGUUGAUUAAAAAAAAUAUCUAACAGUUCCGUGUUUUACGCUGCCUUAUGCUCCGAUUGAUGACACAGAUUCAUGUUUACUGUCUUGCACUGUCCCUAUUGGUUCAUAAUAUCAUUAUGCAUGGACACCAGGCUCUCAGAUUUAUGGGGCGCUGAGUGGAUCCUUCUUAUAUCCUCAUCCCUCAGUGCCAAUGUAGCCCUCUGACUUAAAAUAAUAGUUAUUCUAUCUCAAAACUGGGAUUCCUAAAAAAUGUUUCCCGAAGAUUUGGUCAACUUCCGUCAGAUGUUUAACAUCCAAAAUUAAUCAGGAAUGAGCAGGGUCAGCUAUACCAUAAGGACCCAUUAUUCAUGUCCUCAUUACAUGUAGUGUAGCAAGACCACUCAUGGUCUGUAAAGUUCUCUACUUUUGAUAGAUUUAAACAAACAAUAUUGAAAUCACAAUGGUCACAACCAUAAACUGUCAAGAAUUCUUUUUGUCAACUCCAUUAAACUCCGUCAGAUUCUUGUCUGACGUCAAGUCCAUCAGAGUGCUGUAGGAUCUGAGAAUUGUUGUGUUUUUAUUGGGGAUUUUCAAAUGAAUCAUUUUCUAUAUUUUACAAAUGUUUGUAUUUUUGAAACAGAAGUAGAGAUUGUUCCGUCUUUCAAGAAUCUCUGAAUUGAUUUCCAAUUUACAAAUCCGGUGACAAACCAGUUUUAUUUGUUAUGUAUUCAUGAUCCUUAUUUUGAGCUUAAAGACUUCUGCAUUAGUUAUUCAUCUGUAAAAAGUCUGAGGGUGGAAAAAUACUUUUCCUUUGCAAAGUUUUUCUUUUCAAUUCACAGGAUGGGGGGGGUUGCCGCUUGUUUGAACAGUGAAUCUACCAUAGAAGAUAGUUUCACAUUCUACCACUGAAGCUGUGAUCUGUCCCAAUUAUGCAUGAGAACAUACUGUAUAUUCUGGCUGUUUGUUAUUACACAAGAAAAAGCUGAGGUAAUCAUUCAAGUUAUGAGCUCAGGCCACAGUGGAUACCGCAUGCAUAAUUUAUCCUGUCAUUUGAUUUUACAUAACAGCUAUAUGGAGAAAAGGGGGACAAAAAAAAUAAAGUAUUUGUUAUGCUUUGUUAAUUCUUUGUUGAUUGGCUAAUGUUUGGCUCAGGCUCACAAUAUGUGCGAUUAGAUUAGGGCUCUACUCUGUAUCGCUGAAGCGGUGCAGAUUGCACAAUAUAAAUGUGAAGGCAAUUUCCGAUUGUGUAUCACAAUCUCAACUAACGCGGGAAAAUUGCAUUUAAAUUUCAAUGACGCUGUAACGCUGAACUUCUGCGAUACGAAUUGAAUAGAGCCCUAACAAAAUAUGAUACAUUAUAUAACGGAAAGUGUAGGCCUUUACCUUUAGAGCUAUUUCCAUUUUGUUAUUAAUCAUGUCCUAACCUCGAAAGUAGUUUAUGGACACCAACUAGUCACUGCAAUCCAGUGAUUAUGCCCAUUCACAUAU
rnacentral:lncRNA from 1 species